rnacentral:rRNA from 1 species
CGAGCGGAAGGCCCUUCGGGGUACUCGAGCGGCGAACGGGUGAGUAACACGUGAGCAACCUGCCCCAAGCUUUGGGAUAACCCUCGGAAACGGGGGCUAAUACCGAAUAUUACUUCUGGCCGCAUGGCUGGUGGUGGAAAGUUUUUCGGCUUGGGAUGGGCUCGCGGCCUAUCAGCUUGUUGGUGGGGUGAUGGCCUACCAAGGCGACGACGGGUAGCCGGCCUGAGAGGGCGACCGGCCACACUGGGACUGAGACACGGCCCAGACUCCUACGGGAGGCAGCAGUGGGGAAUAUUGCACAAUGGGCGGAAGCCUGAUGCAGCGACGCCGCGUGAGGGAUGACGGCCUUCGGGUUGUAAACCUCUUUCAGCAGGGACGAAGCGAGAGUGACGGUACCUGCAGAAGAAGCACCGGCCAACUACGUGCCAGCAGCCGCGGUAAGACGUAGGGUGCGAGCGUUGUCCGGAUUUAUUGGGCGUAAAGAGCUCGUAGGCGGCUUGUCGCGUCGACCGUGAAAACUUGGGGCUCAACCCCAAGCCUGCGGUCGAUACGGGCAGGCUAGAGUUCGGUAGGGGAGACUGGAAUUCCUGGUGUAGCGGUGAAAUGCGCAGAUAUCAGGAGGAACACCGGUGGCGAAGGCGGGUCUCUGGGCCGAUACUGACGCUGAGGAGCGAAA